rnacentral:rRNA from 1 species
GCCCUGGCAGUCAGAGGCGAUGAAGGACGUGCUAAUCUGCGAUAAGCGUCGGUAAGGUGAUAUGAACCGUUAUAACCGGCGAUUUCCGAAUGGGGAAACCCAGUGUGAUUCGUCACACUAUCAUUAACUGAAUCCAUAGGUUAAUGAGGCGAACCGGGGGAACUGAAACAUCUAAGUACCCCGAGGAAAAGAAAUCAACCGAGAUUCCCCCAGUAGCGGCGAGCGAACGGGGAGGAGCCCAGAGCCUGAAUCAGUGUGUGUGUUAGUGGAAGCGUCUGGAAAGGCGCGCGAUACAGGGUGACAGCCCCGUACACAAAAAUGCACAUGCUGUGAGCUCGAUGAGUAGGGCGGGACACGUGGUAUCCUGUCUGAAUAUGGGGGGACCAUCCUCCAAGGCUAAAUACUCCUGACUGACCGAUAGUGAACCAGUACCGUGAGGGAAAGGCGAAAAGAACCCCGGCGAGGGGAGUGAAAAAGAACCUGAAACCGUGUACGUACAAGCAGUGGGAGCACAGAGCAAUCUGUGUGACUGCGUACCUUUUGUAUAAUGGGUCAGCGACUUAUAUUCUGUAGCAAGGUUAACCGAAUAGGGGAGCCGAAGGGAAACCGAGUCUUAACUGGGCGUUAAGUUGCAGGGUAUAGACCCGAAACCCGGUGAUCUAGCCAUGGGCAGGUUGAAGGUUGGGUAACACUAACUGGAGGACCGAACCGACUAAUGUUGAAAAAUUAGCGGAUGACUUGUGGCUGGGGGUGAAAGGCCAAUCAAACCGGGAGAUAGCUGGUUCUCCCCGAAAGCUAUUUAGGUAGCGCCUCGUGAAUUCAUCUCCGGGGGUAGAGCACUGUUUCGGCAAGGGGGUCAUCCCGACUUACCAACCCGAUGCAAACUGCGAAUACCGGAGAAUGUUAUCACGGGAGACACACGGCGGGUGCUAACGUCCGUCGUGAAGAGGGAAACAACCCAGACCGCCAGCUAAGGUCCCAAAGUCAUGGUUAAGUGGGAAACGAUGUGGGAAGGCCCAGACAGCCAGGAUGUUGGCUUAGAAGCAGCCAUCAUUUAAAGAAAGCGUAAUAGCUCACUGGUCGAGUCGGCCUGCGCGGAAGAUGUAACGGGGCUAAACCAUGCACCGAAGCUGCGGCAGCGACACUAUGUGUUGUUGGGUAGGGGAGCGUUCUGUAAGCCUGUGAAGGUGUGCUGUGAGGCAUGCUGGAGGUAUCAGAAGUGCGAAUGCUGACAUAAGUAACGAUAAAGCGGGUGAAAAGCCCGCUCGCCGGAAGACCAAGGGUUCCUGUCCAACGUUAAUCGGGGCAGGGUGAGUCGACCCCUAAGGCGAGGCCGAAAGGCGUAGUCGAUGGGAAACAGGUUAAUAUUCCUGUACUUGGUGUUACUGCGAAGGGGGGACGGAGAAGGCUAUGUUGGCCGGGCGACGGUUGUCCCGGUUUAAGCGUGUAGGCUGGUUUUCCAGGCAAAUCCGGAAAAUCAAGGCUGAGGCGUGAUGACGAGGCACUACGGUGCUGAAGCAACAAAUGCCCUGCUUCCAGGAAAAGCCUCUAAGCAUCAGGUAACAUCAAAUCGUACCCCAAACCGACACAGGUGGUCAGGUAGAGAAUACCAAGGCGCUUGAGAGAACUCGGGUGAAGGAACUAGGCAAAAUGGUGCCGUAACUUCGGGAGAAGGCACGCUGAUAUGUAGGUGAAGCGACUUGCUCGUGGAGCUGAAAUCAGUCGAAGAUACCAGCUGGCUGCAACUGUUUAUUAAAAACACAGCACUGUGCAAACACGAAAGUGGACGUAUACGGUGUGACGCCUGCCCGGUGCCGGAAGGUUAAUUGAUGGGGUCAGCGCAAGCGAAGCUCUUGAUCGAAGCCCCGGUAAACGGCGGCCGUAACUAUAACGGUCCUAAGGUAGCGAAAUUCCUUGUCGGGUAAGUUCCGACCUGCACGAAUGGCGUAAUGAUGGCCAGGCUGUCUCCACCCGAGACUCAGUGAAAUUGAACUCGCUGUGAAGAUGCAGUGUACCCGCGGCAAGACGGAAAGACCCCGUGAACCUUUACUAUAGCUUGACACUGAACAUUGAGCCUUGAUGUGUAGGAUAGGUGGGAGGCUUUGAAGUGUGGACGCCAGUCUGCAUGGAGCCGACCUUGAAAUACCACCCUUUAAUGUUUGAUGUUCUAACGUUGACCCGUAAUCCGGGUUGCGGACAGUGUCUGGUGGGUAGUUUGACUGGGGCGGUCUCCUCCUAAAGAGUAACGGAGGAGCACGAAGGUUGGCUAAUCCUGGUCGGACAUCAGGAGGUUAGUGCAAUGGCAUAAGCCAGCUUGACUGCGAGCGUGACGGCGCGAGCAGGUGCGAAAGCAGGUCAUAGUGAUCCGGUGGUUCUGAAUGGAAGGGCCAUCGCUCAACGGAUAAAAGGUACUCCGGGGAUAACAGGCUGAUACCGCCCAAGAGUUCAUAUCGACGGCGGUGUUUGGCACCUCGAUGUCGGCUCAUCACAUCCUGGGGCUGAAGUAGGUCCCAAGGGUAUGGCUGUUCGCCAUUUAAAGUGGUACGCGAGCUGGGUUUAGAACGUCGUGAGACAGUUCGGUCCCUAUCUGCCGUGGGCGCUGGAGAACUGAGGGGGGCUGCUCCUAGUACGAGAGGACCGGAGUGGACGCAUCACUGGUGUUCGGGUUGUCAUGCCAAUGGCACUGCCCGGUAGCUAAAUGCGGAAGAGAUAAGUGCUGAAAGCAUCUAAGCACGAAACUUGCCCCGAGAUGAGUUCUCCCUGACUCCUUGAGAGUCCUGAAGGAACGUUGAAGACGACGACGUUGAUAGGCCGGGUGUGUAAGCGCAGCGAUGCGUUGAGCUAACCGGUACUAAUGAACCGUGAGGCUUAACCUUACAACGCCGAAGGUGUUU